CGAACGAACGAGCAUCCGUUUGAACGCUCUCGCAUGUCGAUAAUUACAAUAACUAUUUUGAAAUUAAUUGGAUUUUUCAAUAAAUUUUCAAUGAAUAAAGUAAAAAAAAUACAAAUGUCAAUAUAACAAUCUAAAGUCGGAUUAUGUUAGCAGCUUACUUUUGUUAAAAGCACCUUAACGAUCGUUUAAACUCUUGUUGCGUGUUAGCGUGUAACGCGUUAGCCGUAAUCUUCGUGAUAUAAAUUACAACCGGGAUGGUGGGGCCUUUCAUUGAACUACCACGAGCGGAAACGAGAGCAUCAUGCUUGCUCUGUGAGAAAUUCUAUUCGACCUCCAUUGGCUUUACUCGAGGAGCUUGUGAGCAUUCGACGAUUAUUCCUUUGAAAUAAUGUCUUCUUCUCUUUCCCGUAUCCGGUAAGAACAACAACGAAGUCAACGACAACGAAGACGAGAGACGUUUAACGCUCAAGGCUAUAUAGAGCCGCUCGAUCCUUGCGUGGCUGAAAAGAAGCAAAAGAAGCAAAAGAAGCAAAAGGAGCAAAAGGAGCAAAACUCUGAAAGAGAAACAACGAGAAAUGGUAAAUAAGCCUUUGUGCUAAAGAAAGAACACCCGGAGGAUUCGAACGAUCCGUAAUAACUGUCUACCGCGUUUCUUAGCAGUAAUGAUAUGGACUCGUAUUAUGCUUUCCUUUUCUAAACGCUAUAAGACGACAAGUCGUCUUAUACUAGUCCUCUAUCUUCCAAUAUGAUAUU